GUAUGUUUGUAUGGUUGUAUGUCUCUGUACUCAUAUGCUUGUCUCAAAGCUUAAGCCAUGCAAGUGUAAGUUCAUGCCGUAAACGAAUGGUGAAACCGCAAAUGGCUCAGGAACCGGACCUAAUCCUCGGGACCGUAUUCUUCCACCGCGAGGAGAGUGGAUAACUGUGGCAAUUCUAGAGCUAAU